ACAGGCCAUUACAAAAGCAAUACAUCUGAUGAACAGCUGCCAAAAAUUGGAUAUUUUUUUUACUCUCCAUGAGAGCUUGCUGUUGGGCAAACCAGCCAUAGAAAUCUUUCCUUGAAAGGUUUUUCCUGCAUAUACCUUACCUUUGAUGAGUCACCGCAGAGUGGGAGGAGGAAGAGAGUCAAACCUUACCAAUGGUGUACUGCAAAUCAAGGAGCCUACAGAUGUCUGGGCAUGUCUUUGCCCAGAGAUGUGCUACAGGGGACAGAAGGAGACUGGCUUUCAUCAAAAUGAAUGCAUGAAGGGUUUCCCUUGACAGUGAUCUGGGGUCACUGCAAAUCAAGGACUUGUUUGCAUGGUGUUUGACGUCAUCAAAAUAGGUGAAAAAGAAAAUGAUAGGCUAUGGUUGUUGUUGGAAUUGUGUAAACUACUACAUGCCAGAAAUAUCUCACAUACAGUUCUUGAGUGGGAUUAUCUACUACUAUCCACAGCAAAGAUGGUUUUGGAAGAUAAUGGAUAGCCUCGUGGAUGGUUUGGAAGCAUCAGCUGCUGCAGGAUUUCUAAACAAAGUUGAUGCCUAGGUGGGAGGCCAUGAAGACACAUAACAAAAAAAAAACUAAAACAAAAGUAUAGGUUCCCAUUUUUUAUUUCAAAUAUUUAAAUAAUACUAAUCAAUAAUACAAUAAUAAUACAAGAAUAUAAUAAUAAUAAUAAUAAUAAUAAUAAUAAUAAUAAUAAUAAUAAUAAUAAUAAUACAAGUCAGACCAUUUAAAAAACAAUAUUCCUCAUGCCAUUGUGUUUUUUAAAUCCCCUGAAUUAAUACACACUGAUAAAGGCAUGAAAUAUCAAACACAUUCACCUGGGCUUUUCUCCCACUUGGGAGGAAAAAUUGCAAUAGGUGCAUUAUCGUCAUAAAUAAGGAAAUUAUACAUAAUUAUACAUAACAAAUUAUACAUAACAAAAAAACUAAAACAAAAGUAUAGGUUCUCAUUUUUUAUUUCAAAUAUUUAAAUAAUACUAAUCAAUAAUACAAUAACAACAAUACAAGAAUAUAAUACAAUAAUAAUAAUACAAGUCAGACCAUUUAAAAAACAAUAUUCCUCAUGCCAUUGUGUUUUUUAAAACCCCUGAAUUAAUACACACUGAUAAAGGCAUAAAAUAUCAAACACAUUCACCUGGGCUUUUCUCCCACUUGGGAGGAAAAAUUGCAAUAGGUGCAUUAUCGUUAUAAAUAAGGAAAUUAUACAGCAUGGAAGAGAGAAUCAGAAUAAAGAACAUUAUGCUCUGUACAAUGAAUAUUCUCAAAUUAGCAUUUCCCCCAUCAACCAUCACACUUUCACACAAAGGCUAAGAUGCUAUAUUAAUAAAAAUAGUUCAAGAUUUCUGUUUAGUACACACACACCCUUUUUGUACUUGGAAUCAAAAUCACAGAAAGUGCAAUAGGACUAGAGAGUGGCAGUGGCUGAAAGAACAUUUUCUAGCCACGAACUAAAUUCCGUCUUAGAUUCCACAAAUUCCACCAAAACAAGCCAAGUUGUCCUAUUCUUGGGAAAGCCCUGAACACUGAACUGACAUUCCCUCUUCCUCCUUUCUCUAUUUUGGUGUUUUUGUACAUAAAGAAUUAGAGAUGCAUUUGGUAGUUCUUGAAGAUACGUGAUGGAUGUAGUCUUGCAUGGCUCAUAGUUGUUCCACAUGCAUAGCUACUCCACACGGUGAGCCAUUUAUCACCUCCACUUGGACCUAAUGUAAAGCAAAGGAAGACCCCCAACCAUGGGUUGUUUGUCCCCAGAGGAGAGCGGGGGAAUCACAGAGACACCUGUCUAUGUCCUCAUAGCCCAAGUGUUUACAUCAUCCACUGAGAUCUGCCAGAUUCCUUUGGAGAUCUCAGUAGCUCAUGUAAUAGCUUCAUGACUGGUUAUGGGGAUGAAGCCAGAUUCGUCUGCAAUGCCUCUCCUUGCUGGCUUCCAAGCAUGAAUGGUUGUGGAUGGAGGGGCAGUUUGGCAGCUUUACAGUAGGUCCUGGCGAGGGGAGGGGGCUUUCAUCAAUGUGGGGGGGGGGAGGCAGGACAUAUCGGUCUUUGAGGGCCCUUCCAGACAGGUUCUUUAUCCCAGGAUCUGAUCCCAGGUUUUAUGUUUAUCCCAGAUUAUCUGGCAGUGCAGACUCAUAUAAUCCAGUUUAAACCUGGGAUCAGAUCCUGGGAUGAAGGGCCUGUCUGGAAGGCCCCUGAGAUAAUCAAAAAGAAACUUAUGCAAAUAUGCAGACAAACGUGUGUAGGCCAUUAGCAGCAUGCCAAUGUGCAUAUCACUCUGCCCCUCCUAAUCAGAAAUGUUAAUAAAUCUUCAGGUUGGUUUGAUUCAAAUUGUUUUUUCCAGAAGAGUCUUGCUUUCAGUUCAGGAUUUGGGAAGGGGAAGGAAAUGAUGGAGACGAUGACAAUGACGAUGAGAUUUACAUCAUGAUUGGCCCUUGUCUCAAGGCAACUUACAAAAGUAAAAAGAAGCACAGUUACCAAAUCGCAUCACUCAAAAGCUAAACUGUAAUGAAACUAUCAAAAAUGCUAACUCCAGUUUAAAUUUUUUUUAUCAAUAGAUAUUUCUAAUCUAUAAGAGGAAAAUUAGUUUUUUUUUCUUGUACCUGUGACAUUUUCUCUCACUUUCCCGUCCUUGUCCAGUCAAAUCACAAGGAGAAGUUAUCUACUUUUCAGAUAACAUACAGUAUACAUUAACAAAUACUUGAAGGUCAGGCUUGUUCAGUUCAUUGAUAGAGUUUGCCACAGUAUGGACUGAAUAAAUGAAGGUUUUAUAUAGGCUUCUAUAUAAAGGUUUUAUAUCGAAGCAAUCUUAAUUUUAGGUUGUAAACCUGUUCUAAGUUUUUUUUUAUAGUGCUAUGAAAUUUCUCACAUAUUCCAAUUUCUAUCAGCUAUUGCAGGUUCUUGCACAGUUUCUUUCAAAACAGUCCAUCAUGAUGUAUUGAGUUUUAGAUUCCGCAGCAGAGUGUAUAACUGGCAAGUAAUGUGCGAGUAGUGCAGAACCUGUGAUUGGGGACACAAGUUUGUUAAGGAGCAGCAAAUUAUCCUGACAGCACAGACUUCCAGCGUAGAUUUGACCUUUUCAAGAACUUAUCUCAACAGUAGAGAGAGAGAAAAUGACAAGAUACAGAAAUAAAAACAUGAAACAGCACCACCUUUCUAUUGCUUCUAACAUAAAAGUAUAGCAGCACAUUUUCCAACUUGUGUUGGAAACCAGCCUUCAUCCUUCCUUGACAAUUGGUACUAGGAGGCCAUCCACAUUGCAAAAUUAGAGAAGUUUGAUACCACUUUAACUGUCAUAGCUCCAUCCUGUGGGUUUCUAUGAAUUGUAGUUUGUUGUGGCAUACAGUUCUCUGACAGAGAAGGGUAAAUAUCUCACAAAAAUACAAAUCCCCAAAUUCCUAUGGCAAUUAAUAUGGUUCCAACUGCUAUAAUUCCGCAAUAUGGAUAAACCUUAGGCCAUUAUCAGCCAUACUUUGGUAACCUCCUAUAUUGGUUACAGCUACUCAUUCUACAUUGAACUGCCACCAAGGAUGGCCCAAAACAGAGUUGGACAUAACAUGGCACAUGUUGAUGAACUACAAUUCCCAGUGGGCUUAGGAAGUAUAGCCAUGCUGGUGAUUAUGUCCAACUGGAAGGCUACACAAUACCCACUGCUGGCCACAGCAAAUGGAGAACAUGGUCGCUCCUUUACUUGCAGAAGGUACAUCUACGCUGCAGAAUGAAUGCACUUUGACACCAUGUUAACAGCCAUCGUUCAGUGCUAUGGAAUCCUGGGAUUUGUAGCCUGAUGCGGCACCAGCACUUUUUGGCAGGGAAAGUGAACGAUCUUGCAAAAUUAAAACUCCCAUUGAGCCAUGGCAGUCAACGUGGUAUCAAACUGCAUUCAUUCUACAGCGUAGAUGCACCCAGAGAUGGCCAGAGAGAAUACAAAGGGCAUGUGUUGGCUUGGUUGCACUUAUCGUCUAUUCACUUCUGCUGGGCCUGUUUGAAGGUAUUGGUUUUUAAUGUAAAUGGGCCAAAAUGAGUGAGGCUCUUUGUCUCCGUAGGCAUGUUCUCUCAUCCUGUAUCCUCCCAUUUUGAAAGAGCUGCCAAGCUCUGGCUUCCAUCUUCCAUCAAGGCAAGGCCUGAAGAUUUAGAAUCAGCCUCCCAGGGAAGCUUGCCAGGCCACUGCUCAAUCAAACUGGAGCAGAAGAAAUAUAUCUCCUGCUUUUUAACCAGUUUCCCAUCUGUCCUGCUACCAUUCCCGUUUUCAUGUAUGAGCUAAGCAUUUAAUCAACUGUGUUUCAGCUUGAGUGCUUUAAAAGAAAUUGCAAGGCAUUUCAAAUGCACUUUAUAAAUAAAACGCAUACGCCCAAGGACACCCCAAAUUGUACCUUCCUCUAUAGUAUGUCAUCAUAUGUACAUAAAUAAAUAAAACAAAACAUCCCUGGAAAAGGCGGCUUAAGUUUUUGAUUCCCAGGCCCUACAGUGCCUACUGCAAAUUCCAUAACCUAUUGCAUAAGCUAUUGGAAAAUAACUGCACCCAGUCUAUGGGCACACAUCUUUUUGGCAAAUGUGGAUCUCCAUGAAUAUGUGGAAACCACCUUUGGAAAACCACUAGUCAAGAGAAGCAUGACCUUGUUAGAAGUUAACUCUUUGAACAAGUGAUAUUCACAAGCCUUAAUGUUAUGACUCAUAGGAAUCUCAGCUGUUAAACUGAAGAACCAUGCCUUUAAACUGCCAAGGAUAAAGACAUGCCACUACAAAAGAUUUUGGUUUGCAGAGGAUGGUUGUGUCUUUGCAGCUGAAGUUGCCCACAAGAUAUAUACUCCCUUGAAACCUCUUAGUUUAAAAUAUGCACUCAGAGAUAAAAAAAAAGUCUUCUCUGAAAAAUAACAUAUCUUGUUUACUCAUAAACAUCUUGUAUUAAUUCACCAUACAGGCAUAUUUCUUAUUGAAGUUCAGUUAUAGAUAGGCUAUAGCUUCUCUCUGUGUUGAGAACACAGGGUAUCAUUCUUUAUCUGUAGUCCAUAGUGUUUAGGUAUACUUGUAUUCACUGAAGUCCAUAAGUAUAUAUAUCCACUGAAGUCCUAAACAACAACCUUCUCUACUAAAGUCCAAACACACUUGCACCAAUCCAGACCUCUGAGGUCUGAUACAAGACUGUUCCCAUUGAAGUUUAAACAAAUACUGAAUACAAAAUUGAGUACUGAGUCUGCACAUGCUCAGUACAAUCACAUAUCUAUAACCUCUCCAACACAAAAGAGUCAAAUUGGCAAAUCAACAUACAGUACACAUAGAAUGCAGGUUACCAAAUGUAUACAUUAACAAGUAAAUAGUGAGUGGCUUGGGAGGUUGCUAUUUCCAAUAGUGCCAAAACUGGGGGGCUGACUAUGACAACCCGCCAAAUCUUUAGCUUUUUCAAAAACAGUCUUUGAACUUUUUGUGGAUUAAAAAAAGAGGGGAAUAGCUUCAAACACUUGUUCAGAAUUUGGAAGUAAUAAGUUACUUGUAAUUAGCUCCUUUUUGCCAAAUCAAAGAUAUAACUUAAGGUGCAUCUACUCUGUAGAACCAAUGUACUUUGACCCCACUUUAACUGCCAUGGCCCAAUGCUAUGGAAUCCUGAGAUUUAUAGCACUCUUGGCAAAGUAGGCCGAUGCCCUUGUAAAACUACAGUUCCCAAGAUCCCAUAGCAUUGAUCCAUGGUAGUUAAAGUCGUGUCAAACUGCAUUAAUUCUACAGUGUAGAUGCACCCUAAGUUUUACCACAAUUGUAGUUUAAAAAGGGAGCAUUUUGCUGCUUUUGAGGUAUAAGUGUUAACAUUUCAAUAAGACCUUGUGUACAGCAUAUGUCAUUGGCGAAGGUGGAAAUCUCAGCUUGCAUUCAUCCCUUCUUAAUGUCAUCUCUCCCACUCCUCCUCUCCCACUAGCUUUCUCUACUUACUGUCUAAAUUUAGCUUAUAAACUUUUGCAGACAGAGAUCAUAUCUUCCUAUACAUAUGCUACCCAAUAAACAGGGUGAGUGACUUGUGGUCUUUCAGCUUUUGUUAAACUGCAGCUCCCACCAUCCUUUACCAUUCAUAAUGCAGGCUGAUGGAAGUUGCAAUGUAACAACGGGUGGGGUGUAGAUUUCACACUCCAUGCCAAUGCUUGGGAGUGCAACAUAAAUAACAACAAGCAUAAAACCAUCUGAUGCCACAAAUUAAGAGUACAUCUAGAAUGAAUGAAGUUUGACGUCACUUUAACUACAAUGGCUCAAUGUUAUGGAAUCCUAGGAUCUGUAGUUUGGUGAGGACUUGAUUUUUUUUUUUUUGGCAGAGAAGGCUAGACACCUCGUAAAACAACAUUUCUCAUGAUUCCAUAGCAUUGAACCCUAGUAGUUAAAGUGGGGUCAAACUGCAUUCAUUCUGAAGUGUACAUUCACCCUAAGUGUUUCAUGGAAGGGGGAUGUCAUGAAUACCUUCUGUUCUGCUUGCAUAGAGUUAAAUGUCUUUUCCACGUGUUGUCAGUGGCUCUUAAGUACAUGGAGAUAUGCCAUGUCAUGUGAUGCAAGAAACUAGCAACUGGUGAAUAAUGGCACAUUACACAUAAUGAUGUAUGACCCCUCUGCCUUUACAGACAAAUUGCUUCCUUGUUUAUAUCUAAAAUGGGCUGGUUCUCAGGGAAUUGUCUCCAUGUAUCAAUUUUCUUUUACAACCAGCGUGACAGCUGGCACUGGAUCAUGGACAAAAUAUUUUCUGGAACUGGCGCACCCUAUAGUUUGGAUGAUGGAUACUAACGUUAUUAGUAAUGUGGGAAAAUUUUGAUCCUGCUACGCUACAGAGGAUUGAGCAAUACAAUUGUUGAAGCCCAUAUUGUCCAAAGAUGGGAAUUUUAUCAUGAUAUUGUUGGACUGCACCUUCCUUGAGUAUUCAGCAUUAGCUCUAUUUAAUAGGGUUGAUAGGGCAUGCAUCAGGAAGCCAUACAUGGUGUUCUGGAACAGAUGAAUGUGCCAUGGCUGCCAUUAGUCCAUUAGCUAGCUCAAUAUUGUCUAUUUUAAUUGAUACAAGUUCUGGGAUGUCAAAUAAAAACCUUCCCCAUCCUGUUUGAAGAUAUAGCAGGGAUGGAACCUGGCUAUUCUUUAUGUAGAGCAUUGCUCUAGCAUUGAGCUAUGCCCCAUCCCCAAACAGUAUGAUAGUAGUCACAAGACAACACCAAUUGUAUCACUGCCCUUCACCAGUAUGAAGAGUCUGGAAAUCAAGUCUUGCAACCAACAAUUGAGUCACCUGAGCAUUUUUAGCAUGGAGAAGAAAAUGAAACUGGGAGAUGAUAUGACAUCCAUCAUUAAAUAUCUGAAAAUAUGUCAUGUCACAGAUCAAGGUUAUUUUGUUUUACUCCAGAAGAUAGUGCCUGAUUCUAUGGAUUCAAAUGUCAGGAAAGGAAAUUUUGAUUCAACGUUAGGAGGAACUUCCUGAUGAAAAGCUUGUACAACAGUGGAACAUAAUACUCAGAAAUAUAGUACACUCUCCUUUAUUGGAAAUUUUGAUUGUGAGAUCGGAUGUCCAUCUGCCAGGGAAGCUUUAAUUGGCUGUGGAUUCCAACACUAUCAAAAGCUUCACACAGUGGUCUUCAGAAUACCACCCAAUUGUCUAGCCUACAUGUGUCAAACUCAAGGCUUGCAGAUUGAAUCUGGCCCACAAUGUCAUUUCAUAUGGCCUUCCAGAUGCUGUACUACAGUUCAUGUAUUCCUCAUCAUUAUACAUAAUAACUAGAGCUGGUUUGAGUUGUGAUAUAGUAACAUAUGGAUGGCUGCAGCUUGUUCUAUUUAGUCAGGAUAGUGGGGUUUGAAUUUAAUACAAGGCUUGUGAAUAGGAUGUCCGACUUUAAAAUGUACUUCAACCUUUCCCCAAUCUCAGGUGUUGCUGGGUUGCAAUUCCCAUUGUCCCCAGUCUGCAUGAUGAAUAAUCAAAAGUGGUGGGAGUUGCUAUUCAAUAACAUCUGAGGACCCAAAUUGGGUACAAACUAAAGAACACUGAUGACUAUGUAAAAAAAGUUACAGCUGGCCUUCUGUAUCCACAGAAUCUCCAUCCAUGGAUUCAACAACCCUUUGAGGCUAAUGUGAAAAUGAAUGUGACAGCCCAGGGCUAGACUUAUGAUGAUAUGACCAUGACUAAGAACAAAAAGAGGUUUCUAUUGUUUACAGGAUGAAAUAUACGCACAAAUGAAAACUAGUUUACAUUUCUUGUACCACCUAAAUCUCUGAAAGGAUUUUGGGAGGGCAUAAGAACCUGAGCUGCUUCAUUUUUUCAGACAGAGGCAGGAAUAAAACACACUGUAUCAGUAAUACAAAGAGUGUGUGGGAGACUUGUGUGCUGCUACGUGACCUUCACUGUUGGACUGUCCAGGUGCUUCUCAGAGGCUCCAUUAUUCAGGCCAUGAUACUGAUAUCAACUUCAAAGUGAAAGAAAUAGAAAAGUCAGAAAUAUGAAGGUUGCGCUGAUCCUUUCCCCCCACCCACAUCUUUAUCUCUCAAAACAAUUUUCCCUUUCAUUUUGCUUGGGUUUGUGGGCAGAAACACUGUUCUUUUCAAGGUCUUAUCCUUGUGUCAUAUCCCCCCCCCCCCCUUUCCUGGAUAUAAGAGUUCACUUAGCAAAAGAAUUGCUCACAAGCUGUUUGGGGGUGUAUAUCUAUUUCUGAUCAAGCUCAUUGCCCAAACCCCACUAUAGUUUUAUAUGCUGAAGUAGCUAUGUCCAGGUUAGUCAGGGGAGAGACUCAUGGUGGUAAAUACCACAAAGAGUGAGACACAGUUUUCAUAUCACUAUCUUGAACCCAAUAAUUGACAACAGAGAGAAAUCUGCAGCUUUAGCUGUGAAGCCCUAAAAUUAGCAAUCUAAGUGCAUGCAAAUGUAGGAAAUUUAGGAAAAAAGAAUGGAUGUUUUUGUUAUUAAGCUAGCAAAUAAGCUAAGAAAGUCUAAUUCAACUGCAUUUGUAUUAGAGGGGAAACGUUUUUAACUUUUAAGUUUAUGUUAAAUUGCCCUUUCAACUGAAGUUAAAUGCCUACAUUUACCAGAAUUAGUUAUUAUUUUAUUGACUCCCAUAUGGAUCCGUACCAAAAUGUUAGGGUUAAGAGCUUCAACAUUCAGUUUCCUGGGAUAGAUGAUGAGAUGGAUGGAAUACAUGCAGUUUGAAGUGCAGAACAUAUAAUGACUACUUGGAUGCAAAGAAAAACAUACUCUUCUAAGAUGCCAUUUUUAUUUAUUAGUUUAAAAUAAUUUAGCUUUGGGAUCAACUAAAUACUAUGUUGUUAAAGGCUUUCAUGGCCAGAAUCACUGAGUUGCUGUGAGUUUUCCAGGCUGUAUGGCCAUGUUCCAACAUCGGGAAAGAAUGCUUCUGGAACAUGGCCAUACAGCCCGGAAAAAUCACAGCAACCUAGUAACAAAACACUCAUUAAAAUUAUUGGCCCCUUUGUAUUUGCCUUUCUUUCCAAUAAUGACUUAAUUACUUGGCUAAUUUGCAAUCAAAUUCAUACUGAUAUUCCAACUAGUGAAUCACCUUAGUUUAAAAAUAUAUGGUUUUUGUUAUAAAAUUCCCAACUUAUAACUUAAUUAACAAUUUAACAUGUGCAUGAAUCAGACUUAAGACAAUUAUAUUCCCACCUCCAAAGUGGAAGAAAAGCAUUACAAAAUAAGGGAGAAUGUGUGGCGUUCAUUUAUUAGAUAUAUACUGUAUUAGAUACAAGUAUAUACUCAAUUCUAAAACACAUUUCCCCCCAUAUAAACAUAUCUAAAAAUAGGAUGUGUCUUAGAAUCAUGGGUGCCUAUAUAUAUAUAUAUAUAUAUAUAUAUAUAUAUAUAUAUUCUGUUGGUAGUACUAAAAGUAGUGUGCGUCAUAAUGAUGAUAUGUGAGAAUCAAAGUCCAUACAAUUUCAGUUCCAUACAACUGUCUUUUAAAUGUGUUUUUAACUAGUACUUUUUACUGUUUGUUGUUUAAUUUGUCUAUUUCAUUUUCUUUUAUUUUGUUUUUUCAAUUUAACUUGUCAUUUAUUUUGUAUAUAUUAUUUAUUGUAUUUACUUAUGUUGUGAGCUGCCCCGAGUCCUUUCUGGGAGAUGCGGCGGGACAGAAAUAAAGAUGACGACAAUGAUGAUGAUGAUGAUGAUGAUGAUGAUGAUGAUGAUGAUGAUGAUAAUGACGUACCUACCUGAUGUCUAGCCAGGUGAAGACAUUUGCAUAUAAUACAUUCAAAUAAACAGCAUUGCAUCUAAAUCUGCUGUGUGUGAUCAGAAUGGCUCAUUAUACCUGCAGAAGACUUCAUGUCUAAUGAGGAAUUCUGUUGGCAGAAAAGAAGAGAGGUGAUCUUUGUUGAUUUCUUCUGCUUGCAUGUGGCUUCCUAUCCAUCUCCAAGGAAUUUACUCUACUGGGCUAAGUUGGGAUGGUAGUGUUGGGGAGCUGCAGAGGGAUGGGCUACUGGUGGAUUCUAGGUGGAAUUCAAAAAAAAAAAAAUCCCGACAACUACCUUGUUGCAACAACUUCAUUGACUACUGGUCUUGUUGCAGGCACAAUUCAAAGUGCUGGUUAUGACCUCGAGUCAAAGUUAUUUGAUGGAUCUUAUUCCCCCAUAUAAAUGUGCCUAUAUUUUGAGAUCUUCUUGGGAAGCCCUUUCUCUCUCCCACUUCUGCCAUAGGCACAUUUGGUGGGAACACAGGAGAAGGUCUUCUCAGUUGCUACUCCCCAGCUCUGAAAAGUCAGAUCAGCACCUUCCUUGCCAUCCUUCCUACAGGCAGAGAAGGGAAGAUCAGUGGCAAAAGAGCUUUGUACAAUGUGCAGAGUUUUGUAUUUGAUGUUUUCGUGAUUUAUGUUUUUAAUUUUUAAUACAGUACUUAAAUAACAUUUUUAACUUUUUAAUGUUGUGAUUCCUAAGGUAUGUUUGCUUUAACUGUUGUAAGCCCUCUGAAGUCCUGAACUGGAGAAAAGGCACAAUACAAAUAUAUAUAACAGCAGCCACAAUAACAAAAGGUUUACUCCUCAAGAAUAUCGUGGCACUUCAAAGAAUAACAAGGUUUAUUAGGUCUAGAGGCUUUUUUGUAGAUGACAAAUGCAUGAAGUGGGGGAUAUAAUCUGUGAAAUGAGAGCAAACUGAAACAUGAAAUGCGUAAACAGUGAUUGUAAUGUUGAUGCUUAUGGUUAACAAAGCAUAAUUGGAUGAUAACAUAGACAUCCUUCAACAGCUGAAGUGAAUACAUGUAGCUGGAUUUAAAAGCUUUCACACCUAUUGAUAAAGUUGAAUCUUUUGAUGCAUUUUUGCUCAGAGUUUUUCCAUUACAAUCUCUCUUUGACUGUUCCUUUUAGAUCAGAGAUAGCCAGCUUGGGGCAAAUGUGUGUAGGAGUCUUUACUCGUCAUGUUUCAUCAAGUUUAGUGGCACUUACUUUGGAAUCAAUAUGUUCACAAUUGCUUGGUCAGCUUGGAAUGAAAACCUGUGAAUGUUGCUAAAGCAGUUCUUGUGGGUAGAAUUGUCAUUCCACCUGGUCAGCUGGACUUCACCUGGUUUCUAGGAAUACCACCCAUGUGGCUUGAUUCCAUUUUUUUUAUUUAAAAAGCAAAAGCAAAUAUCUAGCCCUUAUAGGAUAGGAGUUAUAAGGUAAAAUGUACAGCUACCAUUUUGCCCAAUAGAAAUGAGCCAACUCUCAGAAUUAUUAAGGACAAUGGAAUUACAGAAUUUAGGAUAAAAACCAAGACAACUAAUUAAGUUGAUAAGAUAAUUAAUUAAGUCAAAAGGAGGAUCGGGGCAGUUACCAUGUGUCUCGUUUUGCUCCUGUCAUAAGGAUGGGGAGAGCAACCCCAUCCUUAUGCCAGGAGGACCAUCUGAGGAUGACUGGAGCCCUCCCUCUUCCCCUCCCAUCCCCACCCUUUCCCAGGCCUUCCCCCUCACAAGUCUGUUCCACCCGUCAUGUGCCCUAAACUUUAGGCUUACGGUCGCCCUAAGUCAGAAACGACAUGAAGGCACACAAAAACAACAAUCCUAAUUAACUUGACACUCAGGGGACUUAAUCUAGAACUUUAACUAGUCCUAUGAUACAAAAGACAGUUACUCAACUUGUAGAGAUUGGAGAUAUCUAUUAUCGCUAAACCAUGUCAUAACUUGAUGUUAUUUAGGAUUCAAAUUUUGUAGUGUUGUGAUUUGUAAUUACAUGUUAUAAUGUUGUCAUUUAUUCCCCCUUGAUUUCAAAUGUUGUAAUUUAUUCCCACUUGACUUCAGCCAAAGCUUUAUUGACCAAAAUAAAGGCUACUGACUGACUGACUAUCUCAUCAGCCAAAAGCAGACCCACACUUCCCAUUGAAUUACAGUAGUCUCACUUAUCCAACCUUUGCUCAUCCAACUUUCUGUAUUAUCCAACGCAUUCUGCCUCCC